UACGUAGGGUGCGAGCGUUGUCCGGAAUUAUUGGGCGUAAAGAGCUCGUAGGCGGUUUGUCGCGUCGGGAGUGAAAACCUUGGGCUUAACUCAGGGCUUGCUUUCGAUACGGGCAGACUAGAGGUAUGCAGGGGAGAACGGAAUUCCUGGUGUAGCGGUGAAAUGCGCAGAUAUCAGGAGGAACACCGGUGGCGAAGGCGGGUCUCUGGGCCGAUACUGACGCUAAGGCGCGAAAGCGUGGGGAGCAAACAGGG
rnacentral:rRNA from 1 species